GACCUAUUGACUCAUCCCACCACAGCAACUGCUGCCCAAUCUCCAAAACUAAGGAAUUGCACCUUUGUACACCCUGUGCUUCAGUCCAGCAAGGAAAAGAAACGAACCAACCUGGCAUACUGAUUCACAGUUGGGAAUCUGCCCUAUCUGCUGCUGACCUAUUGACUCAUCCCACCACAGCAACUGCUGCCCAAUCUCCAAAACUAAGGAAUUGCACCUUUGUACACCCUGUGCUUCAGUCCAGCAAGGAAAAGAAACGAACCAACCUGGCAUACUGAUUCACAGUUGGGAAUCUGCCCUAUCUGCUGCUGACCUAUUGACUCAUCCCACCACAGCAACUGCUGCCCAAUCUCCAAAACUAAGGAAUUGCACCUUUGUACACCCUGUGCUUCAGUCCAGCAAGGAAAAGAAACGAACCAACCUGGCAUACUGAUUCACAGUUGGGAAUCUGCCCUAUCUGCUGCUGACCUAUUGACUCAUCCCACCACAGCAACUGCUGCCCAAUCUCCAAAACUAAGGAAUUGCACCUUUGUACACCCUGUGCUUCAGUCCAGCAAGGAAAAGAAACGAACCAACCUGGCAUACUGAUUCACAGUUGGGAAUCUGCCCUAUCUGCUGCUGACCUAUUGACUCAUCCCACCACAGCAACUGCUGCCCAAUCUCCAAAACUAAGGAAUUGCACCUUUGUACACCCUGUGCUUCAGUCCAGCAAGGAAAAGAAAGUAUGUUAUUUUAACCUACAGGCAAUACAACUACUAUUUCUUGUAUUUACACCUCAGG